GUUCUCGUACGAUCACCGAUGUUAAGCAACGUCGAGCCUAGUCUGUACUUAGAUGGGUGACCGCUUGGGAAUACCAGGUGGUGAAA